UACGUAGGGGGCAAGCGUUGUCCGGAAUCAUUGGGCGUAAAGAGCGCGUAGGCGGCCCUGUAAGUCCGCUGUGAAAGUCAAGGGCUCAACCCUUGAAUGCCGGUGGAUACUGCAGGGCUAGAGUCCGGAAGAGGCGAGUGGAAUUCCUGGUGUAGCGGUGGAAUGCGCAGAUAUCAGGAGGAACACCGGUGGCGAAGGCGGAUCUCUGGGCCUUACCUGACGCUCAGGUGCGAAAGCUAGGGGAGCGAACAGG
rnacentral:rRNA from 1 species